GAUGAACGCUGGCGGCGUGCCUAACACAUGCAAGUCGAGCGAAGCGAUUUGGCGGAAGUUUUCGGAUGGAAGCUAAAUUGACUGAGCGGGCGUGGGCAAGGACGUCACUUAGGGUACCUGCCUCAUACAGGGGGAUAACAGUUAGAAAUGACUGCUAAUACCGCAUAAGCGCACAGCAUCGCAUGAUGCAGUGCGAAAAACUCCGGUGGUAUGAGAUGGACCCCGCGUCUGAUUAGCUAGUUGGUGAGGUAACGGCUCACCAAGGCGACGAUCAAUAGCCGACCUGAGAGGGUGAUCGGCCAACAUUGGGACUGAGCACGGCCCAA
rnacentral:rRNA from 1 species